AGUGAACGCUGGCGGUAGGCCUAACACAUGCAAGUCGAACGGCAGCACAGUAAGAGCUUGCUCUUACGGGUGGCGAGUGGCGGACGUGUGAGGAAUAUAUCGGAAUCUACUUUUUCGUGGGGAUAACGUAGGGUAACUUACGCUAAUACUGCAUACGACCUAUGGGUGAAAGCAGGUGAUCUUUGUACCCUGCGCGAUUGAAUGAGCCGAGGUCGGAUUAGCUAGUUGGCGGGGUAAAGGGCCACGAAGGCGACGAUUCGCAGGUCGUCUGAGAGGAUGGUCAGCCACACUGGAACUGGGACAGGGUCCGGACUACUACGGGACGCAGCAGUGGGGAACAUUGGACAAUGGGCGCAAGCCUGAUCCAGCCAUACCGCGUGGGUGAAGAAGGCCUUCGGUUUGUAAAGCCCUUUUGUUGGGAAAGAAAAGCAGCAGGUUAAUACCACGCGGUUCUGACGGUACCCAAUGAAUAAGCACCGGCUAACUUCGUG
rnacentral:rRNA from 1 species